rnacentral:lncRNA from 1 species
CUAAAGCAGAAAGAGCAAAUCAGCAUGGAGAAGGUCCCAGAGGAUUAAAUCCGGUUGGAAGGGCAGGUUUUCGUUGCACAGAGCAGUGCAGACAGACUUCCAGGCUCGAACAGCUGCUGAGUGUUGAUGGGUUGGUCUCAGCAAGGAAGAGGAGGUCAGUGUGGCAGCAGUCAGGCGUGUGGGGAGGAAUGUGGCCGACAGAAGGGCUGAGAAGUUAGAUUGGGGCCGUUGAGUGUUACCCAAGAAGGCUCAACCGUCUUCGUCUUCAUGAGUUACUGGGAGUCUGUGAGGAAGUCUGAGGCCUGUGGGGGUUUGAGCAGACUUGGUUGGAAGGCUGGAUCCAGUGGCUCUCAGCAGUGGAUUAGAGUUCAGAGUUCCUCACUGGUUCCUGCCUCAGUCAUCCUUGGGUGUUGCUGGCCAUGAGCUAUAGGUGUUAUUCAAGAACGCACAUGAUUGAGAAGAACUCCACAGCAAGAGAUGCUUGGAUGCCUUCCUAGGAAGAAAGAGUAUUAGAAGG